rnacentral:rRNA from 1 species
AUUGAACGCUGGCGGAAUGCUUAACACAUGCAAGUCGAGCGAGCUGUAGCAAUACAGCUAGCGGCGGACGGGUGAGGAAUACAUAGGAAUCUGCCUCAGAGCGGGGGAUAGCCCGGGGAAACUCGGAGUAAUACCGCAUGAUGUCGCAAGACCAAAGUGGGGGACCGCAAGGCCCCACACUCUGAGAUGAGCCUAUGUCUGAUUAGCUAGUUGGCGGGGUAAUGGCCCACUAAGGCGACGAUCAGUAGCUGGCCUGAGAGGACGAGCAGCCACACCGGAACUAAGACACGGUCCGGACUCCUACGGGAGGCAGCAGUGGGGAAUAUUGGACAAUGGGCGCAAGCCUGAUCCAGCAAUUCCGCGUGGGUGAAGAAGGCCUUCGGGUUGUAAAGCCCUUUAAGUUGGGACAAAAAAAUCGGCGAUAACAUCGCCGGUCUUGAUGGUACCGACAGAAUAAGCAACGGCUAACUCUGUGCCAGCCGCCGCAGUAA